rnacentral:rRNA from 1 species
GACGGGGGGGGCAAGUGUUCUUCGGAAUGACUGGGCGUAAAGGGUACGUAGGCGGAUAAGCAAGUUAGAAGUGAAAUCCUAUAGCUCAACUAUAGUAAGCUUUUAAAACUGCUCAUCUUGAGGUAUGGAAGGGAAAGUGGAAUUCCUAGUGUAGCGGUGAAAUGCGCAGAUAUUAGGAGGAAUACCGGUGGCGAAGGCGACUUUCUGGCCAUAAACUGACGCUGAGGUACGAAAGCGUGGGUAGCAAACAGG